rnacentral:lncRNA from 1 species
UCCACAAGCAGAUGAUUAUUAUUCAUCAGUGUUCUCUUGUGCAUUUCAGAAUACAAGUGUGGUCAUUUUACAGGUACGGUGUACAUGUUUUCAUGAGAAAGGAGGAGAGGAUAAUUUCAAACUUGAGAAUAUAUUCGUGCCCCGAUCAUAGUGCCGUAGUAAUUAUAUAGUAUUCUGCUUGGACAUGAUGUAUAUCCGGCGUGGCAGAUCGGGCAAUAACUAGUUCAUUAUUCAUGGCAAUGAACCGUAUGAUCCCGGGGGUAAAUUAGUUCCAGGGUAGCCAUGCACAGCUGUUUGCUUCAUCUUCCUGCCUCCACCUUCACCGUCACCACCGAUAGAACAGAAGAUGUAUGUAUUCAGAUCAUAAGAGCAGAAGAUAUAUGCAGCACCUUCUCGAUUAAGAUAUAUGAUGUAAAGCUGAGGAACACAGUACCGUAGGCUUCUGUUGCAGCAGCUGCAACGAACGAUGAGGCCAGGAGGAGAGAUGCCACAAGAAAGCACAGCAGCAGCAGCGCCGCCGUCCGGGGUUUGCUCGCCGGCGCCGCCAUCGCCAUGUGAUCGACGUGUGCAGCUAGCGGAGGGCCGUCGUCCUCGUCUCGGCCAAUUCCUACAGCCGUUGCUGUAUGCACUGCACUCCCAAGUACAUACAGUAAGUAUAUAUAUAUAGUGCUCUGUUGUUGUAUGCAG